rnacentral:RNase_P_RNA from 1 species
GCGGCGGGCCGGAUGGCCGCUCCUGCCCCUUGUGGCAGGGGAGGAAAGUCCGGACUCCAGGAAGCAACGGCGCCGGGUAACGCCCGGCCGGGGAAACCCGAGGGAAAGCGCCACAGAGAAGAGACCGCUGUCGGCUGUCGCCGGCAGCAAGGGUGAAACGGUGGGGCAAGAGCCCACCGCGGGACGGGCAACCGGACCGGCACGGCAAGCCCCGCCGGGAGCAAUGCCGAAUAGGGACCUCAGAGGGCCUUCACGGGCCCGGGGAUGCUUCCUCCCAGAGGUCCGGGUUGGCAGCUAGAGCCUGCCGGUAACGGCAGGCCCAGAGGAAUGGCCAUCGAACCGCCUUCGGGCGGGGAACAGAAUCCGGCUUACAGGCCCGCCGCGCGC